rnacentral:rRNA from 1 species
CCUACGGGAGGCAGCAGUGAGGAAUAUUGGUCAAUGGGCGCGAGCCUGAACCAGCCAAGUCGCGUGAAGGAUGACUGCCCUACGGGUUGUAAACUUCUUUUAUCAAGGAAUAAAGUCAGGCACGUGUGCCUUUUUGUAUGUACUUUAUGAAUAAGGAUCGGCUAACUCCGUGCCAGCAGCCGCGGUAAUACGGAGGAUCCGAGCGUUAUCCGGAUUUAUUGGGGUUAAAGGGAGCGUAGAUGGGUUGUUAAGUCAGUUGGGAAAGUUUGCGGCUCAACCGUAAGAGUGCAAUUGAUACUGGCAGUCUUGAGUACAGUUGAGGUAGGCGGAAUGCGUGGUGUAGCGGUGAAAUGCUGAGAUAUCACGAAGAACUCCGAUUGCGAAGGCAGCUUACUAGCCUGCCACUGACAUUGAUGCACGAAAGUGUGGGUAUCAAACAGGAUUAGAUACCCGAGUAGUC